rnacentral:misc_RNA from 1 species
AACGCACGAGACCUGCGGACCUGCGGAGGGAUCAUUAUUGAAUUCUUUCAAAGAAGGGACUUUUCUCUUAGGAGAGGGUUCUUUCUGAACAAACAAACAAACAUAUACAUGACUAGGAAAUAGAGAAAGAGAGAGAAGAAUUGUUGUGUGAUGAUAGAGAGAGAAGGGCUGUGUGUUUCAUCAAAUGAGAUAUUGGCCUCUCUCUCUCUCUCUCUAGCACAGAGGAAAAGUUCUUGGCUG